rnacentral:rRNA from 1 species
AGUAAUAGAUAGGAACGUAUCCGGGAGUGGGGGAUAACUAGCCGAAAGGUUAGCUAAUACCGCAUAUUCUCCAAGGAGGAAAGCGGGGACCAGUAAUGGCCUCGCGCUCGCGGAGUGGCCUAUCUCCGAUUAGCUAGUUGGUGAGGUAAAGGCUUACCAAGGCGACGAUCGGUAGCUGGUCUGAGAGGAUGAUCAGCCACACUGGGACUGAGACACGGCCCAG